rnacentral:rRNA from 1 species
GUUGGGUAGGGGAGCGUUCUGUAAGCCUGCGAAGGUGUACUGUGAGGUAUGCUGGAGGUAUCAGAAGUGCGAAUGCUGACAUAAGUAACGAUAAUGCGGGUGAAAAACCCGCACGCCGGAAGACCAAGGGUUCCUGUCCAACGUUAAUCGGGGCAGGGUGAGUCGACCCCUAAGGCGAGGCUGAAAAGCGUAGUCGAUGGGAAACGGGUUAAUAUUCCCGUACUGGUGGUAACUGCGAUGGGGGAACGGAGAAGGCUAGGUUGUCCGGGCGACGGUCGUCCCGGUUCAAGCAGGUAGGCAGAGUGAUUAGGCAAAUCCGGUCACUUAAUGCUGAGAUGUGAUGACGAACCACCAAGGUGGUGAAGCAAUUGAUGCCCCGCUUCCAGGAAAAGCCUCUAAGCUUCAGGUUACCAACAAUCGUACCCCAAACCGACACAGGUGGUCAGGUAGAGAAUACUCAGGCGCUUGAGAGAACUCGGGUGAAGGAACUAGGCAAAAUGGUGCCGUAACUUCGGGAGAAGGCACGCUGGCGGUAGGUAAAGUCCCUUGCGGACGGCGCUGAAGCCAGUCGAAGAUACCAGCUGGCUGCAACUGUUUAUUAAAAACACAGCACUGUGCAAACACGAAAGUGGACGUAUACGGUGUGACGCCUGCCCGGUGCUGGAAGGUUAAUUGAUGGGGUCAGCCGUAAGGCGAAGCUCCUGAUCGAAGCCCCAGUAAACGGCGGCCGUAACUAUAACGGUCCUAAGGUAGCGAAAUUCCUUGUCGGGUAAGUUCCGACCUGCACGAAUGGCGUAAUGAUGGCCAGGCUGUCUCCACCCGAGACUCAGUGAAAUUGAACUCGCUGUGAAGAUGCAGUGUACCCGCGGCAAGACGGAAAGACCCCGUGAACCUUUACUAUAGCUUGACACUGAACAUUGAGCCUUGAUGUGUAGGAUAGGUGGGAGGCUUUGAAGUGUGGACGCCAGUCUGCAUGGAGCCAACCUUGAAAUACCACCCUUUAACGUUUGAUGUUCUAACCUAGGCCCAUAAACUGGGUCGGGGACCGUGUCUGGUGGGUAGUUUGACUGGGGCGGUCUCCUCCUAAAGAGUAACGGAGGAGCACGAAGGUUGGCUAAGCAUGGUCGGACAUCAUGCGGUUAGUGCAAAGGCAUAAGCCAGCUUGACUGCGAGAGUGACGGCUCGAGCAGGUACGAAAGUAGGUCUUAGUGAUCCGGUGGUUCUGAAUGGAAGGGCCAUCGCUCAACGGAUAAAAGGUACUCCGGGGAUAACAGGCUGAUACCGCCCAAGAGUUCAUAUCGACGGCGGUGUUUGGCACCUCGAUGUCGGCUCAUCACAUCCUGGGGCUGAAGUAGGUCCCAAGGGUAUGGCUGUUCGCCAUUUAAAGUGGUACGCGAGCUGGGUUUAGAACGUCGUGAGACAGUUCGGUCCCUAUCUGCCGUGGGCGUUGGAAGAUUGAGAGGGGUUGCUCCUAGUACGAGAGGACCGGAGUGAACGCACCACUGGUGUUCGGGUUGUCAUGCCAAUGGCAUUGCCCGGUAGCUAAGUGCGGAAGAGAUAACCGCUGAAAGCAUCUAAGCGGGAAACUUGCCUCGAGAUGAGUCUUCCCUGUCACUUUAAGUGACCUAAAGGAACGUUUAAGACUAAGACGUUGAUAGGCUGGGUGUGUAAGCGUAGCGAUACGUUGAGCUAACCAGUACUAAUGAACCGUGAGGCUUAACCUGACAACACCGAAAGUGUUUUG